GUUGGAUACUGGAAUCACACUGAGGUCACAUGGAGGAAGUGGGCGGGGUAUUUCUGGGACAGAGUAAUGGCUGUACGCAGAGAGGGAAGAAGUUGAUCACAUCCAUCAGUCUCCAAAACGGAGCCUUCGCCCCACUCUCUGACAUCUGAGAGAAGCAACAAAAGAAGAUUCCAGAGGUCAUCAACAAGAUAAUAGGAGUAAUCAUGGAAGAGAUUGGAAACGGGAGUGGUUUUAUUGUUAAAGAAGAGAUAAAAGAGGAGGAUGAAGAGUUUGGCGUGAAGGAGGAGUUUUCAGAAGAACACAAGGAUCUCU